rnacentral:rRNA from 1 species
GACGUAGGGCGCGAGCGUUGUCCGGAUUUAUUGGGCGUAAAGAGCGUGUAGGCGGCUUGUUAAGUCUUGCGUGAAAUCUCGGGGCUCAACCCCGAGCGGUCGUGAGAAACUGGCAGGCUAGAGUGCGGGAGAGGAGAGUGGAAUUCCUGGUGUAGCGGUGAAAUGCGCAGAUAUCAGGAAGAACACCCGUGGCGAAGGCGGCUCUCUGGAACGCAACUGACGCUGAGACGCGAAAGCGUGGGGAGCAAACAGG